CUUACCACCCGAGUCGGCCUCUUUGAUCUGCUUGUGGUGCCCUCCACUACACGCCGAGCAUCAGACGGGAGACAUUCGGUAGACGUACCUCCUUCUCUGGACCCGCCAUUCAGAAAAUCUUUGUCCUUCUAACUGAGGUGCUGCUAACCGCCAGCUAGCUACACGAGGUCUGCAGCUGAUUAUUUCCACUCUGCCUGCUCUCAUCUACCAACCCAGCCCUCAGAAGUUCAUGACCCCGCUCUAGCACUACGACACCAGCUGCAACACACGCUGAGUCAGUGCGGAGGAUGAGGAAAGAUGGAUCAUUCUAUCCACACCCGCCAUUUACCCAUAAACACACCCACACACAUCUCAAUACACAAGACAUAUGGUGGAUCACUGGUCUGUAAGUGCGGAAACGUGUUUCUGUCUACCACAACCCCGCAGAUUCCAUGCCACUGACUAUACCACCAUCCCGUGGAUUUUUCUACUCCUGCCAGAUGCUGGCUGCCGACUUCCACAACCCCGCAGAUCCCGAGGGAAAUAUCACCAUAGAGGACAUAUACCAUUAUAGAUAUCACUGCUGACAGCUUGACUAUAUUUAACCAAACGUAACAAAAUACACGAUGUAUAAUUUAUUAUGUUAAUAAAAUAAAGUUAUAAUGCUUUGUUGUGAGAUUUUUUAACAUUUGCUUGUUUUCUACCCCAAAAUUCCCAUUCAGUCGUUGAUGGCGAAAAUGAAACCAGCGACCAGUGAAGGUACCCGAGAUGUGCACACACCUAUAUCUGACUUCACUUUCACCGUUCACACAGUCCGGGGUAGGUUACAUCACCUUUCCUUCUCAUAAUUCACUGACAUUCCCUCAUCCCAUCCUCCACACGCGCCACUGACUCCCUGCUCACCAAAUCAGCAAUUCCGAUGUAGUCAUGUGAUACCUCUGCUUGUCAACAGUUUGCUUACAUAACAGCUUCUGCAUUGGGCAUUCCAAACAAACUGCGGACCAUCGGUCCGGACAAUGACAAACUGUCACAGUGCCAGACACAGAUUUCUGUUACAACCAUAGCAUAAUGUUGCUUCAAUAAAUCAACAAUAUUUUAUUCAGAUGUCGCCUCCAUGUGAAGCCACGUCGCUGAAAAGAUGAGGAAAGAGAUGAUUGGGAACUACAACAGCGAUGACAGUCAUAAACCCAACUUAGGACGUGACUAUAUGUCACGAGAACUUUAUAGACAUAAUAUAUUAUAUACUACUCAAGACAAUCGGUCCUCCAGUCUGGCGAUGAGCCAGAAAUUGGUAACACACAAACGAGGCGACGAUAGCUCGGGUCACGUGACGUGCUACACCGUUUGUUAUCUCUCAUCGCAAAGC